rnacentral:lncRNA from 1 species
GCUGAAUGAAGAAGUUAGAAAUCUACUGUUUUCUGAUUUUGGCUUCUCAGCUGAAUGUAAAUAAAAAAGAUGGAGGAUAAAAUGUAGAAAAUCACAUUAGCUUGUUUAAGGGUCUUAUUUGCAUAAAAGAGUCUUUGAAUCACAAUUACCCUCUGGCUUUGGACCCUGCUUUUCCUGCCUUUCCUAUUAUCUGGUCCAGGGUCAUUACUAAAAGGCUUCUGGUUUCAUGGAAGAGGACUUACUGAAAUAAUUUCAGUGCCUGAAGUAGAUUCAUAAAGUCUGGUGAAUAACUUGAGUUUCCAUCAAAAUCAUUAAGCUUCAUAUGCAAGAGCGAAGCAUGAAAAGAUGGUGUCAUUAUGAUGAAGCAGAUUUAAACGUAGUGCAAACGCCUCAUAAAAUCUUGCAAUGCUGACAGCCAGCCUUCCUCCAGUGACGGAGGCUCUUGCCUCCCAUGCAUGGAAUUCCCUGGAAAGAAUUUACAACCAAGAAGAGGUUUUAGUAUUAAUUAAACAAUGAGAUGCCACUCUUGCAAAUAACUAUGGAUACCAUUAACUGAUCACAAAUCUAUAAUUCUGGCAUAAGAUAGAGUAGAUUUUCAUCUGUCUUGGAGGAUUGUUUUAUAUUACCUGUAAUUCAUAAUGCAUGAUGGGAUGUCUCUGAUAUCUUUUGUCCUAAAAUUUUGAUUGUGUAAACCUUAG